UUACCCCUUCACAAUUGCUCCUUUUCGGCGAUCUUUCAGGGUGGAUUGUCGAAGACGUCGUAGCCGGCCUAAUUGGAAUCUGGGUCGUCGCCUCUGCCAGUGACAUACGUCCUUUCCAUGGUUUUAAAUUUAAUGAUGAUGCCCGUCAUUUCUUUUUUCAAUGCGUCAUUUUGCUUUUGACACAUUAAUUGAGGGGUUGUCCCUUGCCCUUUGCCACUUUGCUCAUCGUCUUCUUAGAACCCUAUAUGUGUUCCUUUCUGUCCUUCGCCUGAAGUUCCAGUUUGUAAUCCUUAUCGGUGAAGCGUCAACAUGUUCAGAUGCUUCCUGAUUUUGGCAAAGGUGUCAACGAUAUGUUUGUUAUAGUAGAGGGAAACUGGGAAUUCCUUCAUGGUGUUGAUUGGAUCGAACCUAUUCCUAAGGUCACUGGCCGAACAGAGUGGGAAGACCAAGUGAACCUCUCUCUUUUGUAACAAGCAUGGUCGUAUAGAAAGCCACUAGUGCAACAAGGUCAAGGUCGAGCGGCUCACGUGCUCCUUUCCUACGUCCCCUACUAUGGUACCGUGAUCGUAACAGAUGGUAUAGACCUUGGUGCCGACGGUUGCUUUGAUUUUUACAUCCUUCAUCAUCUUCAGGAGAAUAUCGAGGAAGUAGCACCUAAAGAAGAAGAACCUCAAGAAGAAUCAUCUAGUUUGGAGGCAACGAUUUCAGACAUCAUGCCCGUAAAGAAUUUCUUAGAGAUUGCUGCUGCUAGAAAGCGUCAAAGAGAUGGUGAGUCAGCCCCAACUUUCCAGGUUACUUCUGAUGCCUCUGAUCGGUCCCAACGAUGGCCGAUCAUGGUGGUAGAUGAUUACCCUCCCUCCCUUGUCGUGGAUGCUACUGAGUGCACUUCUUCCCAACCUUUGGUAUAGAGAUCAAGUAAGCAUCCCACCAACCAACAAAUAUAGGUCCGGAAGAAGAUCUGAUCAGAUUCUUCUUUUCCUGUUGCUGCUUCGUCUCCAGUUUUUGCCUUAGAGACAGCAGCUGUUGGCUCCCUUAUCAUCUUUAUGCCUGCCCUAAAGGAUCGACAGAUGACCAAUGUCGAUACAACUAUGGGCAAUGCUGAAGUGGCCUCUGCAAUUACCCGAAACUCCAUUCUCCUUACGGAUGCCGCUCAGUUGGCUGAAUAGUCAGAUGUAGCUAUCUUCUCGCAGGCCUUGCACUUUUCUUUAGUGGUCUGUUCUCUUCUUAUGAGGCCAUGGUUCGCCAUGACAAAAUAAACAGGGUUAUUGACAAGCUAAAGACCUUAAGUGACAGGCAAAAUGAGAGGGUGAAGGAGUUGGAACUUCGAUUGGCUGCUUCGGAGGUUAUGGUGGCGGAGGCUGAGAAAAAGCUUCAGACGAUGGACUUUGUGCUAAAGUUUUUGGUGUAGGAGAUCAGUGGUUUGAAGGAAGAGAAGAAGCAACUCUCUACUGCCAUUUUUGCCUCAAAGGCAAGUCUUUCAGAUGUGGUCAAGGCUACCAAGGAUGAGGGAUGCAAUGAAGCUACUACCAUUUACGACUAGCACUUCGCCAAAUUAGAAAAUAUGCUGUUUGAAGACAGAUGGACGUCUACACUUCAAGCUACUAAUGUUCCAGUGGAGUCUGAACUGAGGAAGAACAUCCCUUAUCUGCGUCUAGAUGCUUUGGAAAAGCCAAGUAGAGAGAUUGCCGAAGGGGCUGGGGCAAAGUAAUGAAGAGUCAUAAAGAGUUCGUCAAGUUUUCUGCUUUUUAUUAUUGUUAUUAUAUUUUUUUUAUACUUGUUCGAGUUUUUUUUUUUUCUUAAGAUUUUUUGGAUUAACUUUUUAGUUUGUUUUAUGAACGAUUUUUGAUUGUAUGAAUGUAGUUUGAAAUUACGUCUUUGUUAGCACCAUUCU